rnacentral:precursor_RNA from 15 species
GUUGAUGGAUCUCCAAUGCCUAGUACAGUGCCUGGCACAUAGGAGCUUCAUAAAUGUGUGUUGAUUUAUUUAUUGAUCUCCAAUGCCUAGCACUGUGCCUGGCAAUAAGAGCUUCAUAAAGG